rnacentral:rRNA from 1 species
CUGCUGCCUUCCGUAGGAGUCUGGGCCGUGUCUCAGUCCCAAUGUGGCCGUUCAACCUCUCAGUCCGGCUACCGAUCGUUGACUUGGUGGGCCGUUACCCCGCCAACUAUCUAAUCGGACGCGAGCCCAUCUCCCAGCGGAUUGCUCCUUUGAUAUAUCUACCAUGUGAUAAAUAUAUAUUAUGCGGUAUUAGCGUUCGUUUCCAAACGUUAUCCCCCUCUGGAAGGCAGGUUGCUCACGUGUUACUCACCCGUCCG